UGCCGGGUAGCUAUAUACGGACAGGAUAACCGCUGAAAGCAUCUAAGCGGGAAGCCCCCUUCAAGAUUAGAUUUCCCUGGACCCUUGAGGUCCCUAAAGAGCCGUUGAAGACUACAACGUUGAUAGGCUGGGUGUGGAAGUGCAGCAAUGCAUGAAGCUAACCAGUACUAAUUGCUCGUGAGGCUUGACCAU
rnacentral:rRNA from 1 species